GAUCAAAUCAAGCGCGAGAAGGGCGUUUGGUGGAUGCCUUGGCAGUAAGAGGCGAUGAAGGACGUGAUACUCUGCGAUAAGCCGUGAGGAGCCGAGAAUAGGCUUUGAUCCACGGAUUUCCGAAUGGGGCAACCCACCUGACAGUUGGAUAUAAUUGCCUUCGGGCAGCCUAUAUCGAGCUGAAACAGGUACUUAUAACCUGAACACAUAGGGUUUUAAGAGCAAACCCGGGGAACUGAAACAUCUAAGUACCCGGAGGAAAGGAAAUCAAUUGAUACUCCCCUAGUAGUGGCGAGCGAACGGGGACCAGCCGAGCCGUGAAUGUGACCAGAACAGUCUGGAAAGUCUGACCACAGCGGGUGACAGUCCCGUAUGGGAAGCAUGAUCGGACGUAUUAAGUAGGGCGGGACACGUGUAAUCCUGUCUGAAGAUCGGGGGACCACCCUCGAAGGCUAAGUACUCCUUACUGACCGAUAGCGAACCAGUACCGUGAGGGAAAGGUGAAAAGCACCCCGACGAGGGGAGUGAAACAGUACCUGAAACCGAGCGCCUACAAUCAGUCGGAGCUUGACUGGACUCUAAUGACAAUCUCGGUCAUCUAACCAUCAAAACAACGAUGGAGCAGGAUGAUGGAUGGGACAUUUGCAGUGCUUACCCUGGCACUCGGUCUCUGGGACAUGGCGGCGAACUACUGUCCGAAUGAUGGGUGUCUGGCCGACUACAACGGUCAGUCACGCUACAGCAUUUCGGCCGGUAACGUGAUGUUCCAGGACGAUACCAUCAGCAACGAGGUUUACAUCCGCAAGGAUACGGGCCGCUUCAAAGGGCCGUUCGAACUGGUCUACGGACUUUCCACCACCACGGAGGGAAGCACCUGGGCCGGCAUCGGCGCCGCCUGGACGAAGGAAAACUGGAGCCGGACGGCUUACGUCCAGCUUCACGUGAUGCCCGGCAUCUACCUGCACGGCGACGGCGCCGAUCUGGGUGGGCCGAUCGAGUUUCGAUCGGGCAUCGAAGCCGGCCUGCAAGCUAGAUCGGGAGCCCGCUUCGGGAUUUCCUACGAUCACAGGUCGAAUGCGGAUAUUUACGGAUACAACCCCGGAAUGGAGACGAUCCAGCUCCGGGUAAGUAUCCCGACCAACUAGGUUGUCAUCAGUGUCCAGUCUUGUGACGGCGUACCUUUUGUAUAAUGGGUCAUCGACUUGGUCUAUCCAGCAAGCUUAAGCCGUUAGGUGUAGGCGCAGCGAAAGCGAGUCUUAAUAGGGCGAUGAGUUGGAUGGAUCAGACCCGAAACCGAGUGAUCUAGGCAUGACCAGGAUGAAGGUAAGGUAACACUUACUGGAGGUCCGAACCCACACCUGUUGAAAAAGGUCGGGAUGAGUUGUGCCUAGGGGUGAAAGGCCAAUCAAACUCGGAGAUAGCUGGUUCUCCGCGAAAUCUAUUUAGGUAGAGCGUCAUCCGAAUACCCCGGGGGGUAGAGCACUGGAUGGGUAAUGGGGCCCCACAGGCUUACUGAUCCUAACCAAACUCCGAAUACCCGGGAGUACUAGAUGGCAGACACACUGCGGAUGCUAACGUCCGUAGUGAAGAGGGAAACAACCCUGACCUCCAGCUAAGGCCCCUAAUUCAUGGCUAAGUGGGAAAGCAGGUGAGACGGCCAAAACAACCAGGAGGUUGGCUUAGAAGCAGCCAUCCUUUAAAGAUAGCGUAACAGCUCACUGGUCUAAAUAAGCUGUCUUGCGGCGAAGAUGUAACGGGGCUCAAGCCAUGAGCCGAAGCUGAGGAUGCCGUAAGGCAUGGUAGCGGAGCGUAGUGUGACAUAGCUCCAUGUCUCCUUACUUCCUUCGGGAAGAUUGGAGACAAGGAGCUUUCUGUGAAGCCGGCGCGUGAGCGAUCCGGUGGAGAGAUCACUAGCGAGAAUGAUGACAUGAGUAGCGACAAAGAGUGUGAGAGACACUCUCGCCGAAAGUCCAAGGGUUCCUGCUUAAAGCUAAUCUGAGCAGGGUAAGCCGACCCCUAAGGCGAGGCCGAAAGGCGUAGUCGAUGGGAACCAGGUUAAUAUUCCUGGGCCAGGAGGACGUGACGGAUUGUGAAGGUUGUUCACCCUUAUCGGAUUGGGUGGGCCGCUGAUCAGUCCCUGGAAAUAGCCCUCCAUUAGAUCGUACCCUAAACCGACACAGGUGGACUGGUAGAGAAUACCAAGGCGCUUGAGAGAACGAUGUUGAAGGAACUCGGCAAAAUACCUCCGUAAGUUCGCGAGAAGGAGGCCCAGUUUCAACGCAAGUUUUGGCUGGGGGCACAAACCAGGGGGUGGCGACUGUUUACUAAAAACACAGGGCUCUGCGAAGUCGCAAGACGACGUAUAGGGUCUGACGCCUGCCCGGUGCCGGAAGGUUAAAAGGAGGGGUGAGAGCUCCGAAUUGAAGCCCCGGUAAACGGCGGCCGUAACUAUAACGGUCCUAAGGUAGCGAAAUUCCUUGUCGGGUAAGUUCCGACCUGCACGAAUGGCGUAACGACUUCCCCGCUGUCUCCAACAUCGACUCAGCGAAAUUGAAUUGCCUGUCAAGAUGCAGGCUUCCCGCGGUUAGACGGAAAGACCCCGUGCACCUUUACUACAGCUUCACACUGGCAUCAGGCACAACAUGUGCAGGAUAGGUGGUAGGCUUUGAAGCAGGGACGCUAGUUCCUGUGGAGCCAUCCUUGAGAUACCACCCUUGUUCUGCUUGAUGUCUAACCGCGAUCCCUCAUCGGGUUCCGGGACCCUGUGUGGCGGGUAGUUUGACUGGGGCGGUCGCCUCCUAAAGCGUAACGGAGGCGCGCGAAGGUUGGCUCAGAGCGGUCGGAAAUCGCUCGUUGAGUGCAAUGGCAGAAGCCAGCCUGACUGCGAGACUGACAAGUCGAGCAGAGUCGAAAGACGGCCAUAGUGAUCCGGUGGUCCCAAGUGGGAGGGCCAUCGCUCAACGGAUAAAAGGUACGCCGGGGAUAACAGGCUGAUACUGCCCAAGAGUCCAUAUCGACGGCAGUGUUUGGCACCUCGAUGUCGGCUCAUCUCAUCCUGGGGCUGGAGCAGGUCCCAAGGGUACGGCUGUUCGCCGUUUAAAGAGGUACGUGAGCUGGGUUUAGAACGUCGUGAGACAGUUCGGUCCCUAUCUGCCGUGGGUGUAGGAUACUUGAGAGGAGUUGCCCCUAGUACGAGAGGACCGGGGUGAACGAUCCACUGGUGGACCUGUUGUUGCGCCAGCAGCAGUGCAGGGUAGCUAUGAUCGGACAGGAUAACCGCUGAAGGCAUCUAAGCGGGAAGCCCCCCUCAAAACAAGGUAUCCCUGAGGGCCGUGGUAGACGACCACGUCGAUAGGCCGGAGAUGUAAGUGCAGCAAUGCAUUCAGUUGACCGGUACUAAUUGCCCGAUAGGCUUGAUUUGAUCCAG
rnacentral:rRNA from 1 species